GGCUCGGUAGCUUAGUUGGUAAAGCGCUCGUCUAGCAUACAAGAGUUCUGGGUUCAGAUCUCAGCCGAGCAC
rnacentral:tRNA from 1 species